rnacentral:rRNA from 1 species
GGGGGGGGGGGGGGGGGGGGGGGAGGGGGGGGGGGCGGGGGGUGGCGGCCGGGGGGGUGGGUGGAUUGGUGGCGAAGGGGUGAGUAACACGGGAGUAACGUGCCCUUGACUGUGGGAUAAGCCUGGGAAACUGGGUCUAAUACUGGAUAUGACUUCUCAUCGCAUGGUGGGGGAUGGAAAGAUGUAUUGGUCUUGGAUGGACUCGCGGCCUCGCAGCUUGUUGGUGAGGUCAUGGCUUAACAAGGCGCCGACGGGGAGCCGGCCUGCGAGGGGUACCGGCCACACUGGGACUGAGACACGGCCCAGACUCCUACGGGAGGCAGCAGUGGGGAAUAUUGCACAAUGGGCGCAAGCCUGAUGCAGCGACGCCGCGUGAGGGAUGACGGCCUUCGGGUUGUAAACCUCUUUCAGUAGGGAAGAAGCGAGAGUGACGGUACCUGCAGAAGAAGCGCCGGCUAACUACGUG